rnacentral:rRNA from 1 species
UACGGAGGGUCCAAGCGUUAUCCGGAUUUAUUGGGUUUAAAGGGUCCGCAGGCGGGAAAAUAAGUCAGUGGUGAAAUCCUACAGCUUAACUGUAGAACUGCCUUUGAUACUGUUUUUCUUGAGUAUAAUUGAAGUGGGCGGAAUGUGUCAUGUAGCGGUGAAAUGCAUAGAUAUGACACAGAACACCGAUUGCGAAGGCGGCUCACUAAACUAUAACUGACGCUCAUGGACGAAAGCGUGGGGAGCAAACAGG